CACUGAGCACAGUGCAAACUAGCAAGACAGAAGCUAAGCUCAUUGCAACAUGGCAAAUUGAACCUCCCCCGCCCGCAUUCAGAUCUGGCUUUUGGAACUAUUUUGGUCUUCAUGUGAAGUAUGACCCUGAAGAUUUCUUUUCAAACAUGUGGAUCUGCUGUUACUUUCACUGAGGAAUGGGACCGCAGCACAGCAGCUACACACCAGAGAUCAGCUGAGCCACCUGAUGCUCAGAUUAACUGGAGACGGUCAAACAGAUGUGUGACAGACUUUAAGGAGCUGCUGCCAACAAACCAGCAAAUAAACACUGAAUAUUUCAUGUGUGACAUUUGUGAGCUUAAACACAGUCCGUCAGUCUUUUUGCUCUUGAACAAUAAAAUAUUAAAAACUG